CCUACGGGAGGCAGCAGUGAGGAAUAUUGGUCAAUGGACGAGAGUCUGAACCAGCCAAGUAGCGUGAAGGAUGACGGCCCUAUGGGUUGUAAACUUCUUUUGUAAAGGAAUAAAACGAGGCACGUGUGCCCUUUUGCAUGUACUUUAUGAAUAAGGAUCGGCUAACUCCGUGCCAGCAGCCGCGGUAAUACGGAGGAUCCGAGCGUUAUCCGGAUUUAUUGGGUUUAAAGGGAGCGUAGAUGGGUUGUUAAGUCAGGUGUGAAAGUUUGUGGCUCAACCGUACAAUUGCAAUUGAUACUGGCAGUCUUGAGUACAGUUGAGGUAAGCGGAAUUCGUGGUGUAGCGGUGAAAUGCUUAGAUAUCGCGAAGAACACCGAUUGCGAAGGCAGCUUACUAAACUGUGACUGACACUGAUGCUCGAAAGUGUGGGUAUCAAACAGGAUUAGAUACCCCUGUAGUC
rnacentral:rRNA from 1 species